rnacentral:rRNA from 1 species
UACGGGGGGGAGCAAGCGUUUGUUCGGAUUUACUGGGCGUAAAGGGCGCGUAGGCGGCCACCGCAAGUCGACUGUGAAAUCUCCGGGCUUAACCCGGAAAGGUCAGCCGAUACUGCGGGGCUAGAGUGCAGAAGGGGCAACUGGAAUUCUCGGUGUAGCGGUGAAAUGCGCAGAUAUCAGGAGGAACACCGGUGGCGAAGGCGGGGUCUCUGGGCAGUAACUGACGCUGAGGAGCGAAAAGCGUGGGGGAGCGAACAGG